rfam:Pantoea ananatis LMG 20103, complete genome.
GGAUGAGCCGACAGGACGUCGGCGAAAGUCAGGCCGCGCCAGGGACGGCGCGUCCUGGCGGUCC